rnacentral:rRNA from 1 species
CCUGAUCACCCAUAGGAGGUCCAGCCUGCCCAGUGACUAAGUUAAACGGCCGCGGUACCCUAACCGUGCAAAGGUAGCGCAAUCACUUGUUCUUUAAAUGAGGACUAGUAUGAACGGCAUCACGAGGGUUAUGCUGUCUCCCUACUCUACUCAGUGAAACUGAUCUCCCCGUGAAGAAGCGGGGAUAAAAAUAUAAGACGAGAAGACCCCAUGGAGCUUUAAACUCAGUACCAACUGCCCUAAUAAUAACCUAUUACCCUUGCAGCCAUGGUUACUAGUUUUCGGUUGGGGUGACCACGGAGUAAAAUUUAACCUCCACGAUGAAAGGAACUAAUAUCCUAACCUAUGAGCUACAGCUCUAAGUAUCAACAAAUUGACUAAUUGACCCAAUUACUUGAUCAACGAACCA